UUUUUUCUUUUUUUUCUGGUAUUUAUUUUAGUGUGUUCUUACUUUAUGAUUACAAAACAUUGCUGAGGAAAACAAGGGGACAUUAAUAGGUGCAGAGCAUCAGGGAGGAGAGAGCUGCUCUGGAGCUGCAAGGAAACAAAGUUCACCUGCAUAAUGGGGCUGGGAAAGCUAGCUGAUUACCGAAGUGGGUGGUUUUUAAGAUCCUAGCACACCUUUAAUUUAAUACCUCAGAAAGUGAUUGGUUGAGAUCACUGGGUCUCUGGGAAUCUGCAUAUUAUUGAAGAAUCAACAGUUACAAGAGCUGCAUUCCACUGACUAGACAGAAGAAUGGAGCUCCGUUUCCUUUCAUAAGGAGGGUCCUUCUGACAAACACAACUCUCAAUCAUUAAUUCUGAGAUAACAAAAAAAUGUUUUGUCUUAUUCCUUCAGCAGGGUAUUUUCAUUUGAUAACACUUCAGCACUGAAUCACACAUUUUGGGUACAGAGCUGGUUUGCAGUUUGUUUUUAGAUCUAAAAACAAGUAAGGGUCAGCUCCCGUGCGCACAGGCAACACUGGUUUGAUUCCUAAAUAUUCAUAUCCAUGACCUGAGAGUGCUGUUUUUUGUCCCAUCUACCCGGUUGUAAUGGAGUUUACCAAGACGAGUCCUCGCGGGGUCUGUGUCUGGAGUCUGGGCCGUCUAACUAUAGCGAGUAUUUCUUAAAGAAUAGGACAAAGAGACAAAACCAGAAGCCAGAAAGGCGAGGGGCUGGAAAGAAGUAAAGCUCUAAAGUCCUGGGCUGUCUAGAAGUCCAAACAUGAACCCUUGAUAGCCGUCUGUAAGAGAAAAGGACCUGAAAGGAAAAACCUGGAUCAAACUGAAGUUCAGCUAUCUCUUGAUUCAAAGCCUCACAGUGUUGUUAAAUGCCAAAAGCAGAACCACAAAAUAUUUGUUUAAAAGGAGAAGACAAUCCUUUUUUGUUCUAAAAUAAGAUGAGCAGGCUCUGUAUAUUCUUAUUAAUCAUAUUUGAACCUUACCUACAAUGUAAAGUUCUAAAAAAACUGUAACAAUUUGUAAUCAAGACAAUUAUGGAUGAUCACACCUGUACUAUAGUGUGACUAAAUAAUAAAUG